GCCGACGUGGUGGAAUUGGUAGACACGCUAUCUUGAGGGGGUAGUGGCUAAUUGCUGUGCGAGUUCGAGUCUCGCCGCCGGCACCA
rnacentral:tRNA from 1 species